GUGGGGAAUCUUCCGCAAUGGACGAAAGUCUGACGGAGCAACGCCGCGUGAACGAUGACGGCCUUCGGGUUGUAAAGUUCUGUUAUACGGGACGAAUGGUACGACGGCCAAUACCCGUCGUAAGUGACGGUACCGUAAGAGAAAGCCACGGCUAACUACGUGCCAGCAGCCGCGGUAAUACGUAGGUGGCAAGCGUUGUCCGGAAUUAUUGGGCGUAAAGGGCGCGCAGGCGGCGUCGUAAGUCGGUCUUAAAAGUGCGGGGCUUAACCCCGUGAGGGGACCGAAACUGCGAUGCUAGAGUAUCGGAGAGGAAAGCGGAAUUCCUAGUGUAGCGGUGAAAUGCGUAGAUAUUAGGAAGAACACCAGUGGCGAAGGCGACUUUCUGGACGAAAACUGACGCUGAGGCGCGAAAGCCAGGGGAGCGAACGGGAUUAGAAACCCGUGUAGUCC
rnacentral:rRNA from 1 species